GGGGGCGGCGGCUCAGAGCCCGCCGGCGGGCGCUCCGGGCCGAGGAAGACUCCGCCGGCGCCCGGCCGCCCCACGAUGCUCCUGCUGGCCCUUCGCCGCCGCCGCCGCCGCCUGGCCGUCGGUUACCCGCAGCUCUUCCUCCUGCUGACCAGCGGCAGCUGCCUAGCCUUGUCCUCGGUGGUGGCCUUGGGGGCAAACAUCAUCUGCAACAAGAUCCCAGGCCUGGCCCCCCGGCAGCGAGCCAUUUGCCAGAGCCGCCCUGAUGCCAUCAUAGUCAUUGGAGAAGGGGCCCAGAUGGGAAUCAAUGAAUGUCAGUACCAGUUCCGGUAUGGCCGGUGGAACUGCUCGGCACUGGGAGAGAAGACCGUCUUCGGUCAAGAGCUUCGAGUAGGGAGCAGAGAAGCCGCCUUCACCUACGCCAUCACUGCCGCUGGUGUUGCCCACGCAAUCACGGCAGCCUGCAGCCAGGGAAACCUCAGCAGCUGUGGUUGCGACCGAGAGAAACAAGGUUACUACAACCAGGAGGAAGGGUGGAAGUGGGGAGGCUGCUCUGCUGACAUCCGAUAUGGCAUUGACUUCUCCAGGAGGUUUGUCGACGCCAGAGAAAUCCGAAAGAGUGCUCGGAGACUGAUGAACCUGCACAACAAUGAAGCUGGCAGAAAGGUGCUGGAAGGACGGAUGAAACUGGAGUGCAAAUGCCACGGCGUUUCUGGUUCCUGCACCACCAAGACCUGUUGGACUACACUACCCAAGUUCCGAGAGAUCGGAUAUAUUUUGAAAGAGAAAUACAACGCUGCCGUGCAAGUGGAAGUGGUUCGGGCCAACCGGCUUCGGCAACCGACCUUCCUGAAGAUCAAGCAGAUCAGAAGCUACCAGAAGCCGAUGGAGACCGACUUGGUCUACAUCGACAAGUCACCCAAUUACUGUGAAGAGGAUGCUUCCACGGGGAGCGUGGGGACCCAGGGGCGGCUCUGCAACCGCACCUCCCUCGGGGCGGACGGCUGCGGCAUGAUGUGCUGCGGAAGGGGCUACAACACCCACCAGUACACCAAGGUGUGGCAGUGCAACUGCAAGUUCCACUGGUGUUGCUUUGUGAAAUGCAACACCUGCAGUGAACGGACAGAAGUGUUCACUUGCAAGUGACCUUAAGACGGAGCAACGUGAACAUGGACACAACCGCCACUUGGUAGUGUGGAACAAAAUAACUACAGCAUCAUUUUGCACAUUUUUCUUGGUUUCUUUUCCUUUUUUUGGUGGGAAGGGGGUAGAACCAAUCUCUUACUCGUUCCUUGCUAACACAGUCGGAGGAGCAAUGCGUAAUCUGUUGGCUAGAGUUGCUUUGAUUCCCUUAGUCCAAGGGACCCUGGGAUGGGACGAUGGGUUAGGAUGAUGUUAUUCCAGGUGAACAGCUUUUCCUUUUGAUUCCCCCUCCCUUUGCCCACCACAGUCUGAGGUGUUGUAGAGUUUUACUCCUAGAUUAAGUUAUGCGUACAAUACGAUAGACACAGAUUCCAGGAGGAGAUUUUCAAAUUCAGAACGAGCACCAAGAUGUGCAACAGAGACCAUUUUUUUCCUAUUUAAAAAAAGGACGAAAGAAAGAAAGAAAGAAAGAAAGAAAGAAAGAAAGAAAGAAAGAAAGAAAGAGGGAUUGAGAUGCUAAGUCUAAAGCUAAGAUUCCCUCAUUGUUGCCCCAACACUUAUUUCUGAGAAAGAGAGGGAAUGAAGUAGAGACAAAGGGCAGCAGCUCAGACAAAUGAAACACGGGGUUGGGAGGAACUUCGAUGAUGGAUUCAUAGAUAAAAUAAAAGAGGAAAUUCUGACAGCUCCCGGUAACACUGGAAACUUUUGAAUGGACAUUUCAGCAGGAAAAAAAGGUCUGUGUGAUCCAUCUCAGUUGAAUGGGACUUUGUAUAAAACUGUUACAUGCACUCAAAUUUCUCUUCCAAUCUUCUGCAAAGCACUGAGGAUCUUCGUAGAUUAUGUAGAUGUAUAUGGAGGAAGACCGUUGUAUAAGUCGCUUAAAACUGGAAACAAAUCUAGGCUUUAUCCGGCAAUUGGUGACACUUCAAUUGGUGAGAGGAGAGAGCUUCCCUUUGUGAGUCAUGAAUCGCCAAAUUUGGUGACUUCUAGAGAUGAGGAAUGACCCCAUUACACGCUAUAUUAUGAAAAUGAUAUAAGGGGUCAAAAACAGCAAAAUGGCAAUGCAACUGCACGAUUGAUGUCCUGUCCCUUUUUGAUAUGGGAUACAUUUCAUGUAAAAAAGGGUCCGAGCUUCACUUGUGUCACGGCGGCCACAGGUUUGAUAUUUUUGAUCAAUUCAGGUGCCCUAACAAAGAUAUAGAUAUAUUUCCAACCCUUCAUUUUGAAAAUAGGGUCUGGUGCAAGAUAUACCACUGACUAUUUGCUUAAACUCUUCUCACUAAAUGCAAAUUCAGUCUGGAUUGUUUGAUAGAGAGCUACGCCAUUAACUCAGCUGGUCGUUCUCUGGGGCCUUUCUGACAUCACAUGUCUUGUGAUUAUAUCUAUUCCUUUUUUUCCAGUCUGCCAGCAAUCACAAUGGUAUUAAGGAUGCAGAGCAGCACAAUGCCAUUACAAUAUCCUCGAAUUGUGGUGUCACACCUACUGCUAUGCUGAGGAUGCGUGAAAACAAAACCCCCUCCUCAUCCAUUCUCCUAGGCCAAUCUUUCUUCACUUCAGCAACUUGAGGAUGGGUGUACUUCAACUCCCAGAAUUUCCCAGCCAGCUAUGCUGGGGGUGGAAGUACACCCCUCUUCAAGUUGCCGAAGUGGAGAAACACUGUCCCACACAGUUCGCUACAAAUUUCUUGCAGAGAAAUCCCUGUUAUUUUUCUCCCCUGGCGUAGGAACCCCAAUUUGACAUUCAGUCGCAAGUCACCCGUUGUGUGUCAGCAUGGCUGAGCGGCCGGCAACUCAGAGGAAAAAGCCCUUUUUGCAGCGUUAGCGUUAUUCGGCAGUGGCCUUUUCUUAUUGUUUCAUAAUUUCCAGGUUUAGACAGGCUUUUUAUUGGCUCUUUGGAAGAGAUUAACAUGCUAACCCCAUGCCAGAAAAAUAAUGUAAACAGCAGUUGUUGAAGCACUUGCUGCAGCUGCCGAUGACUCAGUCGCACCGUAGAACAAGCUAAUACAAGGCUGGUGUAUUAGUCUGAGUUAUUUUUAGUGACACAAUUAAUCUAACUAACGUUGACAGCAUAAAACCAUCCUUUUGCUUCCCAAUAGACCUCUUUGAAUAUUGCUUUUUUAAAAGGCAUAUUCUAAAACAAUACAGCAUGCGAUACAAAGAGGGUGUGCUUGUAAACACGUAUGUUCUCCUAAGCAAGGGAUGGAACUGGUCUACUACAAACUUGAAAGUGUGACGUUAAAUCACACUGUUUAAGUCUUGAGCAAGUAGCUGCUACUGAAGCUCCCUGCCUAGCAUGGGUGUCCCCAAAGGGAGAGGGUAAAAAAAUCAAGAUGGGGACCACCACGGCUUCUCGUAUACGUGAGAAAAAAACCAGGACUUCAAUCAUCCAGUUGCAGCCUCCCUCUUGACUUACUUGACACACGCAGCCCUGGAAUAAGUUCAGGAAGCUGUGUUGGAAUCACUCAAUGCAAUACUUGUGGCCUCAAAGAGGAUACGUGGCCUUGGUCUUCCUCUUCCAGGGUUGGGAGGUGCAGAUCAGAGCUUUCAGACAAUUCACUUAGUUCUUUGUGAAUGUAGUUAGAUAAGCCAAUUGUAUCUAUCUGAUCUGGAUAAUUUUGAUCCUUUCCGUCCCCAGACUGAUGGAAUGUGUGGAUCUGGUAGGAUGUUAUACACAAUACAAAUGAAGCAAAUGUGUUUACAGAACAAGGGGACCUGACCUGGCGUCAAAUCUUUCUCAAGUCUGCAACUCUCUGAACCUUCCAAAAGUUUUUUUACCAAGUUUAAUAUUAUUCCAAUUUGAGGAUGAAAUUGUUGAAUCAGAAAAUAAUCAUACCAAUUGUAAUUCAUUUUAAUUACAUACAAAUGUAAUGGAAAUUAAGCCAAUUUUUGCUGGAGUGCAACAACCGAUAUUUCAUUCAACACUAUUGCUUUCAUAAUACCAGUUACCAAAUUUCACAAGGGAAUUCUAGACUUGGAGGGAGCCCUUGAGACCAUCCAGCUGAGUAUUUUUCAAACUUGGCAACUUUAAGAUGCAUGGAUUUCAGCUCCCAGAAUUCCCCAGCCAGCAUGCUGAGCUUCAGUCCAUGGCCUCAAAGAGCAAACAGAGACUACACUAUAAGGUGGGUGAGGGAACAUUUAGUGCAUGACUGUCAGUGGCCAUGAUUUAGUGAGCUGUCUAUGGGAACCAGAUUCACCCCAAAUGCUAAGCCAUGGUUUUUAAAAACAUAAUGGCUUCAAGCAUAGAACAUUUUUGUCCAAAUCACAAUUCAGCCAGAUUCUGAAAUGAUUUAAUGUAGGAAGCUGUAUCAAGAUCAUUAGUGACGGUACAAUAUCCUCGAGAAUCCUUAUCAAGUCCAGAGGAGUAAAUGAUAACACAAGUGUGUGAUGCCAUCACCACACAGAUGCUGCGCAUUGGUUGAGAAGUCGACCCAGAAGAGCAGCAUUUGUGUGGUGACGGCACAGAAAGGAAGAUAUUGUACAUUUGCCUGCAAUACCUCCAGGCCUGUUGAAAAAUAUAUCUUGGAUCAAAUCAUCAUUUAUUGUACUUGAUUCCAUGUCACUUAUUUAUCUCACUGCUUUGUGGCAGAACAGGCCAUAUUUUAGCAUUCUUGGCUCAUAAUUAAACAGUUUUUUUUUUAAAAAAAAAACAUGCUUUAAAUAUAAAAUGUGAAGCCGUGUGGUGCCCCCAAAUGCAAUUAUGAGCAUUAGAACAAGUUCAUGAUUUUGGCACCCAUCAAAUAUUAAACUUCACAAUCUCUCUGUUCUAAAAUGUUUAAUUUCAUUUCAUUAGCAUUUAGCAAAACUGUCCCGACAUCAGAUACACAGACUGAAAUCACAACAAAAGCUGAUCUCAAUGCAUUUGGAAAAUAUUUCAAUGUUAAGUGAUAAUUCUGUGAAGCAGAACACCCAAUUACAAAAUUCACUGAGUUUUCAGAUGAGGAGCAAAGUUACUUUAAUUGGUAGAAAUAUAUUUCCCUUUCUUUUUUAGGAAACGUGAUUGCUCAAUUUUGAUGAAGAUUGUCAUAACAAUUUUAAUUUUCAACAAUUUCAAAAAGUUUUUGCAUAAAAAUGUCAGCUUCAUUUGUAGAGAUCCCGUAUCUCUGAUGAUCUUCCUCAUGAAAUUCUGGAAAUGCACUUAGGAAUCUGCGCCAACAGCCAGGGGUGCCUGCAGGAAAGAGCAGCCCAACAUCAAAAAAGGCUGAUAAAAGGGGAGGAGCUUCAACCAUGCAUUUCUUGACUCUUUUGCCCUGGUUCUACUGAUGCCACUACCUACAGCUCAUUCGCAGGUUCAGCCCCAGAUCCUCUUAAGACAGGGGUCCCAAUCCCUGGUCCUUGGACCAGCAUCCGGCCGCGUCAUGCCAGCAACCGGUUCACCCAAACAAGCAAAGCCCAUCUGUGGGAUGCAGGCAGCAUGCAAAACCAGGCUCCCUCCAGUCCACGAAAAAAUCUCUCUCCACAGAACCGGUCCCUGGUGCCCAAAGGUUUGGGGGGGGGGCAGCUGCUCUUAAGGCAUCUAUGAACAGAUUGAUAGCAUAUAAAGUAUCUUAUAAAAUAUACUUCCAUUCCGGUCAAAGACUGUAACCAAAAUCGGAUGGCUAUGCAGAUAUUUCUAAUCAACCAUCAUAAGCAUCUUUCCCCAUCAUCACCUGUGGGUUUUUCUUUCCUUGCUCCUCUUCCCCAGCAAAAAAUAAAAAUAAAAAAAUCAAUGUCUGAAAAGUGUUAAUUGCCUCUACAGUUGAGCUGAGCCCUCAAGAAGGCUUCACCCUUCCCUUAGAGCAGGAGAACUGACGUAGAACAAUUUCUUAAGCUCGCAUUAGUUGCAGUAUCAUACUUCCAAACACAGUCCCGUGGCACAGGAUAUUGUAAAUAUGCCAGUAAUAUUUGUGGAGGGUGGGUAUUCACUUAAGUUAUAUUAUUCUAUAUCGUUUAAAUGUCUAUGAAAAUUAUUUUAAAUUAUUGUGAGCAACACUGAACAAAGGUGUGUGUAUGUAUGUGUGAGUAUUUACACUGCAUUCACAGAAGUUGAAUAUCUCCAACUCCUUUCUGCUCAGAUUGAUUCUCCUUGCGGCAGAGCUUCACUUGCACUCUGAUGCAUGCAAAGCGUUUUUUGUGUGCGAAUUGUAAAUGUAAGAGAGAGAAUAAAAAGGACAUAUUGCUAUCCCACCGAAUGAACACCAGGGCCUCUUGCAGGCAGGACAAACAUACAUGUUACAAAACACAUCCCCAAAUUCAUAGCAUGUUGCAUUAAACAUGAAACAGCCCUUCCGUUAUCCAUGCAUGAUGGUUGUCCCCAGGACCUGGUCAAGUUUCCUCCUCCCCUAACUUUAUUUUAAGAGUUUGCCCAAAUGAAUCUUGGUUUUACAGACUGACAUGAACUUUCAGAAGGCUGUGGGAUCUGCUCAUCCUCCUGACGGGAGAUUUUAGCGAGGGCUUCUCCAGGAUCCAAAGCGACGGAAGCACAACAUGAAAAGGAAUGGAGUGUGGAUGGCGAGACCGUGGGAGACCCUGCCAGCGGUGCAUCCAAAAGACGAGAAAAGCCUUCUCGGGAGAAGCCCAACCAAGCUUGGUAUCGAAGGAGUGGUGACCAAAAAGGGGUUGGGAGUGGGGAGAAAGCCCAGGAAAUGCCAAGUGUUUCCAAGGUCAGGCUGUGAUUCAAAAGAAUUAACGAUGACAGAGCUCAAAGCGCUGAACAUUAAAGAAUUUUCAAAAA